rnacentral:rRNA from 1 species
AAUAGAUACCCUGGUAGUCCACGCCCUAAACGAUGUCUACUAGUUGUCGGGUCUUCAUUGACUUGGUAACGCAGCUAACGCGUGAAGUAGACCGCCUGGGGAGUACGGUCGCAAGAUUAAAACUCAAAGGAAUUGACGGGGACCCGCACAAGCGGUGGAUGAUGUGGAUUAAUUCGAUGCAACGCGAAAAACCUUACCUACCCUUGACAUGGUCGGAACCCUGAAGAGAUUCGGGGGUGCUCGAAAGAGAACCGAUACACAGGUGCUGCAUGGCUGUCGUCAGCUCGUGUCGUGAGAUGUUGGGUUAAGUCCCGCAACGAGCGCAACCCUUGUCAUUAGUUGCUACGAAAGGGCACUCUAAUGAGACUGCCGGUGACAAACCGGAGGAAGGUGGGAUGACGUCAAGUCCUCAUGGCCCUUAUGGGUAGGGCUUCACACGUCAUACAAUGGUGCAUACAGAGGGUUGCCAACCCGCGAGGGGAGCCAAUCCCAGAAAGUGCAUCGUAGUCCGGAUUGCAGUCUGCAA